UACGUAGGGGGCAAGCGUUGUCCGGAAUCAUUGGGCGUAAAGCGCGUGUAGGCGGUCCGGUAAGUCCGCUGUGAAAGUCGGGGGCUUAACCCUCGGAUGCCGGUGGAUACUGUCGGGCUUGAGUACGGAAGAGGCGAGUGGAAUUCCUGGUGUAGCGGUGAAAUGCGCAGAUAUCAGGAGGAAUACCUAUGGCGAAAGCAGGUAUCUGGGCCAUCACUGACGCUGAGCUGCGAAAGCUAGGGGAGCAAACAGG
rnacentral:rRNA from 1 species